UUGAAGGAUUUGUAAGAAAUGUUUGAGGGGACUGACUCAGUGUUUAACAGUUCCAUCAAACAUUUCUUACAAAUCCUUCAA